ACUUCUGUUGGUGCUGCAGGUCUUCCGUUUUACAUUAAGACUGAAAAACUGAGAUUUGGAGGAAGUGAAGAUGUACAGAAGAAUGAGAAGCAUGGGAGACAGAAAUUGUGCAAAUGAGCAGUCAGGUGAUUCACAGGAUCUGAGGAUUGUGCUGCUGGGAGUCUCUGGAGCUGGAAAGAGUUCAACAGGAAAUGCAAUACUGGGUCAAGAUGUGUUUAAAGAGAGCAGAACCAGAGAGAGUGAGAUACAGAGAGGAAGAGUAAAAGACAGAAACAUCUCCAUCAUCGACACUCCAGGAUUCUUCAGCACUCACCUGACUGAUGAAGAGAUGAAGAAGCAGAUGAUGAAGAGCCUGUAUCUCUCUAAUCCUGGUCCUCAUGUGUUCCUGCUCAUCAUCAACCUGGAGACCUUCAAAGAGGAGGAGAGGGAUGUUGUGGAGCAAAUUCAGGAGAACUUUGGAGCUCAAGCUUUCAGGUUCACCCUAGUGCUGUUUACUGGAAGAGAACAAAUGUCUAACAGAGAAUGGAUCCUCUUUAUGGAUAGUGGAAAUUUUCAAGACAUAGUCAGUCACUGCAGAGGUAAUCAUCAUUCCAUCAACAGUAAAAGUGAGAUUAUUCCAACUCACAUCAAAAAGCUUCUGGAGAAGAUUGAUGAAAUCAUCAAACAGAAUGAUGGCCAGUAUUACAAAAAUGAGAUUUACUCAGUUUCUCGAACAAAGAGCGGAAAAGAAAAAAGAAAACAAGAGGAAAAAAAGGACAGAAAAAAAGAGCAAAAGAAUGAGAAGAGACAAGAGACAAUAAAAAUAGUACCUGAGACAUUUGAAAUGGACAGUGUAAUGGCAGAGAGAUCAGAAAAGAAAAGUCUUAUUUCUCGUGUGAGAGAAACAGAGAUAACUCAUGUAUGUGAAGAAAACAUUGAAGGAAAGGUGGUUCGUACAUCAUCAGUAAGAUCACUGGCAAUCUUAUUUGAAAGAAUGGAGGAAGAAAGUACAAUUCAGACACCAAAAGCUGGAAAAACAAGAACAUUAUGGGGCCAGAAUAAACAACAGAAAACAACAGAACAACAUUUGGCCAAAAGAGAUCUCAGGAUUGUGAUGGUUGGUAAAACUGGAGUUGGAAAAAGUGCAACAGGAAACACCAUCCUGGGACGAAAGGCAUUUAAAGAAGAACAAUCUGCUCAGUCUGCAACUGAGAAAUGCCAACAACAUCAGCAGAUGGUGGAGGGUCAAAUCAUCUCAGUGAUCGACACUCCAGGUCUGUUUGAUACGUCAAUCAGAGAAGAAAAACUGAAGAAGGAACUAGUGAAGUGUGUGGAGAUGUCUGUUCCUGGUCCUCAUGCGUUUCUGCUGCUCAUCAGACUGGAUGACAGAUUCACAGAUGAGGAGAAAAACGCAGUGAAAUUGAUUCAGGAGAACUUUGGAAAAGAUGCUGAACGUUACACCAUCCUCCUGUUCACUAGAGGAGAUCAGUUAAAAACAUCUAUAGAGGAGUUUCUGACAAAAAACAACCAGAUUAAUGAGCUAGUCCAACAGUGUAAAGGUGGUUAUCAUGUGUUCAAUAACACAGAUGAACAAAAUCAAUCACAGGCCAGUGAACUGAUCAAGAAGAUCAACAAAAUGGUGAAGGAGAACGGAGGAGGGCAUUACACAAAUGAGAUGUACAAGGAAGCUCAGAGAAAGUUAAUGAUGAAGAAGGCUAAGGAUGCAGCCAUAGUGGGAGUGGGUGUAGCAGGUGUAGGAGCAGCAGUAGCUGGAGGUACAGUACUUGGUGUUGCUACUGCUGGAGUGGCACUGCCUGUAGCUUUAAUGGCAGGAGGUGCAGCUCUAACAGGAGUAAUAACUGCAAAAGCUAUUGCAGAUAGAGUUAAAAAGUAAUAGGUUGAGCAGGAAAACAUGUUGAAAUCGAUUGUACUCAAAACUAUAAGUUGUUAAUACAAAGACAGACAACAGAUUGUUAGCACAACUCUAGGACUCUUUAUUGUUACUUAAAUAGAAAAUAAAAAGAUUGAUGUCCCUUUUCCCUUUUGUAAUUCUAAUUUUAACUGGUCAAAUGGAGAACAGAAGAACUUGUAGACUUUUGCUUUCCUGUCUCAAAUCUUCAGUAACAAAGGCCCUGUUUACACCUGGUAUUAAGAUGUGUUUUGGUCGAUUGGAUCACAAGCAGGGGACACACAUUCCCAUUCAUACCUGGUGUUUCUGUCCAUCUCUUUUGUCCAACUUCACCUUCUGAUUUCUUCAAGGGGAGUGGUUGUGGGUGUGUAAAUUUACGGGCUUUUUCCGAUCUUUUGAUCUAAUAGGCGUAACAAGCACAAUUUACAUAUGAGCACACCUAGAGACGCUGGGAAAACAAACAGAGAUCAUCAGCUUUCAUUUCUGCUCUGACAACCACAAGACCAGCUGAACGCAAUAAGUGCAUGCUAGAAAUCAAUAAUGUUUGGAGAACAUUGUGCUUAGCAUGUGUGUCAUCUUCAGAUCAAUUUUAUGGCUUCAGCCGGCAACGUUUAAAAUCCCAUCUGGCUAGCUCACUCCCCAUAAUGUUUAUUGUUUCAGUAAGCAGAGAGUCGGCAGUCUUUUGUGGCUGUUCGGACACAUUCGACCACAUGAGCAUUUCCACUACGAAAGCAAUCCGGUCAAAUGCAUUUUCAACUGGUUCUGGAAGUGGUCGAAAGUGGACAAGCUCUCAAAACCUUUUACACCCUGUUUACACCUGUAUUUAGCGUCGUCCACUUGUGACCUGAUCGACCAAAAUGCACCUUUAAUACAGUGAGGGAAGCUUUAAUUUGCUGAUUGGUCAGUUUGAAUGUCUCAAUUUUGGUUUUCAGUCACAUGGUCAAGGAAAUGAUAAAAUAAGAUUGUAACUGCUGUAUCUGUCUAUUUUUUUUUCGCUGGCACUGUCUUUUCUUCUCUGUUAACAUUCCACAUACAUGCUACGUACAAUUAACUGUAUAUGUUUUAUCAUCCUUCAUCUAUUUAACCAUUUCAAGUGUAACCAUAAUAAAAUACUGUUAUUAAACUGUGCUAACUAGAUUUGAUUCAACAUUAAUACUGAAUCGUUACCCAUUGUAUUACACAUAUAGCAAUGCUCUCAUGAGGCAAAUCAUUCAGCGUCCACAGCUCAUUAGUUUGCUGGAAAAAUGAACUCUUUCACUAAAUAUAUACACUAUCCCAGCUAACAGCAUUUUGUUAUAAGAACAAUCUCUAAAUACAUUCUCUAAAUAUAUUUUCUUGACGUUAGAGGAACGUUAUUAUAAGGUGAACAAGCACUGAAAGCAAGAGAGAGAGCAUUUGAUUGGUCAGAAAUCUGAUGAGAAGCUGAUUUGCAGAGAAACUGUAAGUUUUGAACACUUAUAUCUUCUAAAUGCGAAUUUAGUUUUGAGCUGAUGUGUCCCAAUUCAGAGUCUGCAUCCUUUAAAGGACUCAGACUUCAAAGGCCAUCUGGGGUUCUGCAAAAGAAUGAAAAGUAAAAUAAUAAAAAAAAAUAGCCUACAUAUUUUACAUAAUAUGCAUCUGAGUUCUGCUCAUUAGAAUGUAAAUUGAUCACCUACUAUAGCCUCUGCAGAAGGACCAUCAAUGCUGUACAGAAGAGCGUGUGAGUGAAUCACGUGACAUAAUAACCAAAGCUGUCCAGCAGGAGGCGACUGUGGGGGAAAACUAACCUUGUUCCUUAAAGAUGGGGAAAUAAUGGAGCUGGAAGUCACACAGUAUUACACUGUGAAAAUUAGUAACAGUUGCCAUUUUAACAUAUAUUUUAACAUCAACUUGUCAAACACAGUAGAGUAAAGAAUUACUAGAAAACCUGAUUAUUUAUUAGAAAAAAAAUAUAAGAAAAUACGAUUUCUUUCCAUAUAAAUAUUGCAUUUUGUCAUUUAGAAUGUUCUUCAUUUAGAAUGUUCUUGACUUCAAAAUUGUAUUUUUUGUGUAUGGUUUUUUUUUUUUGGACUAAUAAUCCUGUGCUCUAAACAUCUUGUGGAAAUGUAUUAAAUUAACUUUAAAAGAUCAUUAUUUUCCUUUAAGCAGUUUCAUCUCAGUGAUGAUGUUCUGUUAAGAGGGAAGGAGAGACAGAGACAUUUCUGCCACUGUGUGUUAAAAAAAAAACAGUGUUAACCACAGAAAGUCCUUCACUGUGAAGCUAAAGUGCUUGAGUUAAAACAGUCAGUCAUUUGGUUGCUGUUGAUCUGAUGAGCUUCAACACGGUAAGACAAACACAUUCAUACUUCAAUAAAAACUGAUGAUUAUUUCUAUAGAUGAAGCUCAUAUAACACAUGAUUCCUGACAUGAGAAAUAUCUUCUGAACAUCUAAUGAUCAGUUCAUUUACACACACUGAUGUUGAGCAUUAAUAAUCUUCAGAUGAGCAAAGAUCUUACUAACACUAAGAGCUGUUUAGAGUGAUGAACAGACACUGUUUAUGAGUAUAUGAGUGAUGAUUUAUGCUGUAUUAUAGAUAUAUUUGAUGCUGAUGUUGGUCAGAAUGGCUCCUGCUCUUCCUCUGAUCUUUCUGCUCAUGAUUCACAGGGUUUUUUGUGCUGGUUGGGGUGUGAGUUACAGUCUUUCACACAUCUGUGCACUAAAGGACUCGUCAGUGAUAAU